rnacentral:rRNA from 1 species
GAUGAACGCUGGCGGCGUGCCUAAUACAUGCAAGUCGAGCGAACAGACGAGGAGCUUGCUCCUCUGACGUUAGCGGCGGACGGGUGAGUAACACGUGGAUAACCUACCUAUAAGACUGGGAUAACUUCGGGAAACCGGAGCUAAUACCGGAUAAUAUAUUUAACCGCAUGGUUCAAUAGUGAAAGACGGUUUUGCUGUCACUUAUAGAUGGAUCCGCGCCGCAUUAGCUAGUUGGUAAGGUAACGGCUUACCAAGGCGACGAUGCGUAGCCGACCUGAGAGGGUGAUCGCCCACACUGGAACUGAGACACGGUCCAGACUCCUACGGGAGGCAGCAGUAGGGAACCUUCCGCAAUGGGCGAAAGCCUGACGGAGCAACGCCGCGUGAGUGAUGACGGUCUUCGGAUCGUAAAACUCUGUUACUAGGGAAGAACCAAUGUGUAAGUAACUAUGCACGUCUUGACGGUACCUACUCAGAAAGCCACGGCUAACUACGUG